rnacentral:snRNA from 1 species
GUGCUUGCUCCAGCAGCAUAUAUACUAAAAUUGGAAUGACGAUUAGCAUGGCCUCUGCACAAGGAAGACACACAAAUUCAUAGUGUUCCAUAUUUUA